rnacentral:rRNA from 1 species
UGCCAGCCUCCGCUGUACUCCUGAGGUAUCUAUCGUUAUUCGGAAUAACUGGGCGUAAAGCGAGCGUAGGCGGAUUUGUAAGUUGGAGGUGAAAUCCCAGGGCUUAACCCUGGAACUGCCUUCAAAACUACAUUUCUUGAGUUUGGUAGAGGAGAGUGGAAUUCCUAGUGUAGAGGUGAAAUUCGUAGAUAUUAGGAGGAACACCAGUGGCGAAGGCGACUCUCUGGGCCAAUACUGACGCUGAGGUUCGAAAGCGUGGGGAGCGAACGGGAUUAGAUA